rnacentral:rRNA from 1 species
AGUGAACGCUGGCGGUAGGCCUAACACAUGCAAGUCGAACGGCAGCACAGUAAGAGCUUGCUCUUACGGGUGGCGAGUGGCGGACGGGUGAGGAAUACAUCGGAAUCUACUUUUUCGUGGGGGAUAACGUAGGGAAACUUACGCUAAUACCGCAUACGACCUACGGGUGAAAGCAGGGGAUCUUCGGACCUUGCGCGAUUGAAUGAGCCGAUGUCGGAUUAGCUAGUUGGCGGGGUAAAGGCCCACCAAGGCGACGAUCCGUAGCUGGUCUGAGAGGAUGAUCAGCCACACUGGAACUGAGACACGGUCCAGACUCCUACGGGAGGCAGCAGUGGGGAAUAUUGGACAAUGGGCGCAAGCCUGAUCCAGCCAUACCGCGUGGGUGAAGAAGGCCUUCGGGUUGUAGGGCCCUUUUGUUGGGAAAGAAAAGCAGCAGGUUAAUACCCCGCUGUUCUGACGGUACCCAAAGAAUAAGCACCGGCUAACUUCGUG